rnacentral:rRNA from 1 species
UACGUAGGGGGCAAGCGUUGUCCGGAUUUAUUGGGCGUAAAGAGCGUGUAGGCGGCCUGAAAGGUCAGCUGUGAAAACUCGAGGCUCAACCUCGAGACGUCGGUUGAAACCAUCUGGCUAGAGUCCGGAAGAGGAGAGUGGAAUUCCCGGUGUAGCGGUGAAAUGCGCAGAUAUCGGGAAGAACACGCGUGGCGAAGGCGGCUCUCUGGGCCGGUACUGACGCUGAGGAGCGAAAGCGUGGGGAGCGAACAGG